AUUGAACGCUGGCGGCAGGCCUAACACAUGCAAGUCGAACGGGUGGCGGACGGGUGGGUAAUGUAUGGGAAACGGACCGAUGGAGGGGGAUAAGUACUGGAAACGGUAGCUAAUAACGCACACCAACGGAUGGGCCCAGGUGGGAUUCGCUAGUAGGUGGGGUAAUGGCUCACAACGGCGACUAACCGUACCUGGUCUGAGAGGAUGACCAGUCACACUGGAACUGAGACACGGUCCAGACUCCUACGGGAGGCAGCAGUGGGGAAUAUUGCACAAGUGGCGCAAGCCUGAUGCAGCCAUGCCGCGUGUAUGAAGAAGGCCUUCGGGUUGUAAAGCACUUUCAGCGAGGAGGCGUUACUAUCAGAAGAAGCACCGGCUAACUCCGUGCCAGCAGCCGCGGUAAUAC
rnacentral:rRNA from 1 species